rnacentral:lncRNA from 1 species
GUACUAAUAAAAGAUAAAAUAUGAAACUGUACAAAACAUAGUUUGGUAUAUAUGAGUUAAAAAAUGUAGUUCAGGUAUGUACAACCCAUGAGGCUCACAAAUGACAGUAGAUAAAUGAAACUGUACAACACACGACCAAUGGUUCCAAAAUUCCAGUCUAACAAGACCACCAAAUUCUUCUUCGGGGAGCUUGACCUACACAUUGCAUAUAAAAUCGUCACCUGGGCAAUGGACAAAGCAAGUAUGUCAACCAUGCUUGGAGAAUCACAACAUACUAUUUGGUGCAUUGGACUAUUAUCGCAUAGUUAAGAUACAACAUAAGCAUUAAGAUGGAAUUUCAUAAGAAAUAACACAUAAAUACAAUAAAUAUGAGAAAUACCUGUGGUGACAUAGUCACCAUGUACAACAUUAAUCAGUUUCAAGAAAAAGGGUAAAAUAAUUAAAUUGACCAAAGAUAAAAAUGCAUGUAUACCCAAAACAUUUCUUAAA